AGAGUUUGAUCCUGGCUCAGGAUGAACGCUAGCUACAGGCUUAACACAUGCAAGUCGAGGGGCAGCAUUAAGUUUGCUUGCAAAUUUAGAUGGCGACCGGCGCACGGGUGAGUAACGCGUAUCCAACCUUCCCCUGUCUCGGGCAUAACCCGGUGAAAACCGGACUAAUUCCCGAUGUUGUUCCUUGACGGCAUCAGAUUGGAACCAAAGAUUUAUCGGACAGGGAUGGGGAUGCGUCUGAUUAGCUUGUUGGCGGGGUAACGGCCCACCAAGGCAACGAUCAGUAGGGGGUUCUGAGAGGAAGGUCCCCCACAUUGGAACUGAGACACGGUCCAAACUCCUACGGGAGGCAGCAGUGAGGAAUAUUGGUCAAUGGGCGAGAGCCUGAACCAGCCAAGUAGCGUGCAGGAUGACGGCCCUAUGGGUUGUAAACUGCUUUUAUACGGGGAUAAAGUCGGGUAUGCAUACCCGUUUGCAUGUACUUUAUGAAUAAGGAUCGGCUAACUCCGUGCCAGCAGCCGCGGUAAUACGGAGGAUCCGAGCGUUAUCCGGAUUUAUUGGGUUUAAAGGGAGCGUAGAUGGAUGUUUAAGUCAGUUGUGAAAGUUUGCGGCUCAACCGUAAAAUUGCAGUUGAUACUGGAUGUCUUGAGUGCAGUUGAGGCAGGCGGAAUUCGUGGUGCAGCGGUGAAAUGCUUAGAUAUCACGAAGAACUCCGAUUGCGAAGGCAGCCUGCUAAGCUGCAACUGACAUUGAGGCUCGAAAGUGUGGGUAUCAAACAGGAUUAGAUACCCUGGUAGUCCACACGGUAAACGAUGAAUA
rnacentral:rRNA from 1 species